rnacentral:lncRNA from 1 species
CAUGUUUAUGAGAUCUCAACCAUCCCCCUAUACCUCUAGCCAAUGUAGAAAAGUAAAAGAAUAACAAUACGCACAUUAAAAUUCAGUUCAAGAGAAGUCCAGUCCGAUGUCAAAAGAUGUAACAAAAGAAAAUAUAUAAAAUGACAAUAAUACAUAAAUAACAACAGACUACUAGCAGUUAACUGACAUGCCAGCUCCAGACCUCAAUUAAACUGAUUGAAAGAUUAUGUCUUCAUCAUAUGAAUAUCAGGUACAAUCCCUCCCGUUAGGGGUUUAGUAUCAUACUAUCAUAAAAUAUAUGAGAAGAACACAACCCGUGUCAUGCCAAC